CGCUGGCGGCGUGCCUAAUACAUGCAAGUCGAGCGAACAGAUAAGGAGCUUGCUCCUUUGACGUUAGCGGCGGACGGGUGAGUAACACGUGGGUAACCUACCUAUAAGACUGGGAUAACUUCGGGAAACCGGAGCUAAUACCGGAUAAUAUUUCGAACCGCAUGGUUCGAUAGUGAAAGAUGGUUUUGCUAUUACUUAUAGAUGGACCCGCGCCGUAUUAGCUAGUUGGUAAGGUAACGGCUUACCAAGGCGACGAUACGUAGCCGACCUGAGAGGGUGAUCGGCCACACUGGAACUGAGACACGGUCCAGACUCCUACGGGAGGCAGCAGUAGGGAAUCUUCCGCAAUGGGCGAAAGCCUGACGGAGCAACGCCGCGUGAGUGAUGAAGGUCCUCGGAUCGUAAAACUCUGUUAUUAGGGAAGAAUAUACGUGUAGGUAACUAUGCACGUCUUGACGGUACCUAAUCAGAAAGCCACGGCUAACUACGUGCCAGCAGCCGCGGUAAUACGUAGGUGGCAAGCGUUAUCCGGAAUUAUUGGGCGUAAAGCGCGCGUAGGCGGUUUUUUAAGUCUGAUGUGAAAGCCCACGGCUCAACCGUGGAGGGUCAUUGGAAACUGGAAAACUUGAGUGCAGAAGAGGAAAGUGGAAUUCCAUGUGUAGCGGUGAAAUGCGCAGAGAUAUGGAGGAACACCAGUGGCGAAGGCGACUUUCUGGUCUGUAACUGACGCUGAUGUGCGAAAGCGUG
rnacentral:rRNA from 1 species